rnacentral:rRNA from 1 species
AAUUCGACGCAACGCGCAGAACCUUACCAGCCCUUGACAUGUCCAGGACCGGUCGCAGAGAUGUGACCUUCUCUUCGGAC